AUUGAACGCUGGCGGCAGGCCUAGCACAUGCAAGUCGAGCGGAUGAAGGGAGCUUGCUCCUGGAUUCAGCGGCGGACGGGUGAGUAAUGCCUAGGAAUCUGCCUGGUAGUGGGGGAUAACGUCCGGAAACGGGCGCUAAUACCGCAUACGUCCUGAGGGAGAAAGUGGGGGAUCUUCGGACCUCACGCUAUCAGAUGAGCCUAGGUCGGAUUAGCUAGUUGGUGGGGUAAAGGCCUACCAAGGCGACGAUCCGUAACUGGUCUGAGAGGAUGAUCAGUCACACUGGAACUGAGACACGGUCCAGACUCCUACGGGAGGCAGCAGUGGGGAAUAUUGGACAAUGGGCGAAAGCCUGAUCCAGCCAUGCCGCGUGUGUGAAGAAGGUUUUCGGAUUGUAAAGCACUUUAAGUUGGGAGGAAGGGCAGUAAGUUAAUACCUUGCUGUUUUGACGUUACCAACAGAAUAAGCACCGGCUAACUUCGUG
rnacentral:rRNA from 1 species